rnacentral:rRNA from 1 species
UACGGAGGAUCCGAGCGUUAUCCGGAUUUAUUGGGUUUAAAGGGAGCGUAGGUGGAUUGUUAAGUCAGUUGUGAAAGUUUGCGGCUCAACCGUAAAAUUGCAGUUGAAACUGGCAGUCUUGAGUACAGUAGAGGUGGGCGGAAUUCGUGGUGUAGCGGUGAAAUGCUUAGAUAUCACGAAGAACUCCGAUUGCGAAAGCAGCUCACUGGACUGCAACUGACACCGAGGCUCGAAAGUGUGGGUAUCAAACAGG